CCCUUCGUGGUGUAACUGUAGCACACUCAACUCGUAUUCGAGAGAUCCAGGUUCGAGUCCCGGCGAAGGCA
rnacentral:tRNA from 1 species